ACUGAGUUGCAAAACUCCAACCCGUGGGAACCUUACCUUUUAUGUUGCUUCGGCGGAGGAAGGCCCCCAGGGGCCCGAGCCCGCCGGAGGUUCCAAACUCUUGUUUCAUCAGUGAAUCUCUGAGAAUAAAAAACAAAUAAUUAAAACUUUCAACAACGGAUCUCUUGGUUCUGGCAUCGAUGAAGAACGCAGCGAAAUGCGAUAAGUAAUGUGAAUUGCAGAAUUCAGUGAAUCAUCGAAUCUUUGAACGCACAUUGCGCCCGCCGGUAUUCCGGCGGGCAUGCCUGUUCGAGCGUCAUUUCACCACUCAAGCACAGCUUGGUUUUGGGGCGCCCGGGUCUCUUUCAUUAGAGCCCGGGGCCCCCAAGUACAUCGGCGGGCUCGUCGGAACUCUGAGCGCAGUAACUCGCGGUAAAACGCGUCCUCGUUCGGCAGGCUUCGGCGGGUUCUUGCCGCUAAACCCCCUAAUUUUCUUAGGUUGACCUCGGAUCAGGUAGGAAUACCCG
rnacentral:rRNA from 1 species